rnacentral:rRNA from 1 species
GACUAACGCUGGCGGCGUGCCUAACACAUGCAAGUCUAACGAGAAAGCGGUAGCAAUAUCGUGAGUAAAGUGGCGAACGGGUGAGUAACACGUAACUAAUCUGCCCUCCAGUGGAGGAAAACUCAGGGAAACUUGAGCUAAUCCUUCAUAACGUGAUGAGAUCGCAUGGUUUUGUCAUUAAAGAUUUAUCGCUGGAGGAGGAGGUUGCGUCUGAUUAGCCAGANGGCGGGGUAACGGCCCACCAUAGCUAUGAUCAGUAGCUGGUCUGAGAGGAUGAUCAGCCACACUGGG